rnacentral:rRNA from 1 species
GAUGAACGCUGGCGGCGUGCCUAAUACAUGAAAGUCGAGCGAACGGACGAGAAGCUUGCUUCUCUGAUGUUAGCGGCGGACGGGUGAGUAACACGUGGAUAACCUACCUAUAAGACUGGGAUAACUUCGGGAAACCGGAGCUAAUACCGGAUAAUAUUUUGAACCGCAUGGUUCAAAAGUGAAAGACGGUCUUGCUGUCCCUUAUAGAUGGAUCCGCGCUGCAUUAGCUAGUUGGUAAGGUAACGGCUUACCAAGGCACCGAUGCAUAGCCGACCUGAGAGGGGGAUCGGCCACACGGGAGCUGAGACACGGUCCAGACUCCUACGGGAGGCAGCAGUAGGGAAUCUUCCGCAAAGGGCGAAAGCCUGACGGAGCAACGCCGCGUGAGUGAUGAAGGUCUUCGGAUCGUAAAACUCUGUUAUUAGGGAAGAACAUAUGUGUAAGUAACUGUGCACAUCUUGACGGUACCUAAUCAGAAAGCCACGGCUAACUACGUG